rnacentral:rRNA from 1 species
CCUACGGGAGGCAGCAGUGGGGAAUAUUGGACAAUGGGGGGAACCCUGAUCCAGCCAUGCCGCGUGUGUGAAGAAGGCCUUAUGGUUGUAAAGCACUUUAAGCGAGGAGGAGGCUACUCUAGUUAAUACCUAGGGAUAGUGGACGUACUGGCAGACGCGAUACUAACA